rnacentral:ncRNA from 1 species
GGUAGUAGCAAAUAUUCAAAACAGAACUUUGAAGGCUGAAGAGCUGAAGGGUUCCAUGUGAACAGCAGCUGAACAUGGGUCAGUCCUGAGAGCUUGGCAAGCGUUGUUCAGAAGGGAUAGGCGAUUGCCUCCGUUGCCCUCACCCAAUUAAAAGGGAGUCAGUUGGGUUCAGAUCCCCAAUCCGGAGUGGCAGAGAUGGGCUCCAGGAGGUGUCCAGUGUGAUGAUGCAAUCAAUCCCGGAGAGGCUGGUGGGAGCCGGUGGGUGUGGGGCGUUCUCUUUUCUUUGAAGGGCAGGGCACCCUGGAAUGGGUUUGCCUGAAGAGAGGGGCCUGUGCCCUAGAAAACAUUGCAGUUCCCUGGGGAGAGGUUGUAAAUCUCCUGCUGCACUGUACCCAUAUCCGCAGCAUGUCUCCAAGGUGUACAGUCUCUGACA